CAAUAGCGUAUAUUAAAGUUGUUGCAGUUAAAAAGCUCGUAGUUGGAUUUCUGGUGGGAGCGAUCGGUCUGGCGCUUAGCGCGAGUACUUGCAUCGUCUCCGGCCAUCCUUGGGGAGAGUCUGUCUGGCAUUAAGUUGUCGGGCAGAGGAUCCUCAUCGUUUACUGUGAAAAAAUUAGAGUGUUCAAAGCAGGCUUAUGCCGUUGAAUAUAUUAGUAUGGAAUAAUAAGAUAGGACUUUGGUACUAUUUUGUUGGUUUGCGCACCAAAGUAAUGAUUAAUAGGGACAGUUGGGGGUAUUCGUAUUCCGUUGUCAGAGGUGAAAUUCUUGGAUUUACGGAAGACGAACUACUGCGAAAGCAUUUACCAAGGAUGUUUUCAUCAA
rnacentral:rRNA from 1 species